rnacentral:rRNA from 1 species
GAUGAACGCUAGCUACAGGCUUAACACAUGCAAGUCGAGGGGAAACGAUAGAGAAAGCUUGAUUUUUCUAGGCGUCGACCGGCGCACGGGUGAGUAACGCGUAUCCAACCUGCCAAUCACUUGGGGUUAACCUUACGAAAGUAAGACUAAUACCCAAUGAUAUCUCAAGAAGACAUCUUAAUGAGAUUAAAGAUUAAUCGGUGAUGGAUGGGGAUGCGUCUGAUUAGCUUGUUGGCGGGGUAACGACCCACCAAGGCGACGAUCAGUAGGGGUUCUGAGAGGAAGGUCCCCCACAUUGGAACUGAGACACGGUCCAAACUCCUACGGGAGGCAGCAGUGAGGAAUAUUGGUCAAUGGGCGAGAGCCUGAACCAGCCAAGUAGCGUGCAGGAUGACGGCCCUAUGGGUUGUAAACUGCUUUUAUAAGGGAAUAAAGUGAGCCUCGUGAGGCUUUUUGCAUGUACCUUAUGAAUAAGGACCGGCUAAUUCCGUGCCAGCCGCCGCCGUAA